rnacentral:rRNA from 1 species
UACCAGCACCCCGAGUGGUCGGGACGAUUAUUGGGCCUAAAGCAUCCGUAGCCGGUCAUGCAAGUCUUCCGUUAAAUCCAGCCGCUCAACGGUUGGGCUGCGGAGGAUACUACGUGGCUAGGAGGCGGGAGAGGCAAGCGGUACUCAGUGGGUAGGGGUAAAAUCCGUUGAUCCAUUGAAGACCACCAGUGGCGAAGGCGGCUUGCCAGAAUGCGCUCGACGGUGAGGGAUGAAAGCUGGGGGGAGCAAACCGGG